rnacentral:rRNA from 1 species
AUUGAACGCUGGCGGCAUGCCUUACACAUGCAAGUCGAACGGUAACAGGUCUUCGGAUGCUGACGAGUGGCGAACGGGUGAGUAAUACAUCGGAACGUGCCUAGUAGUGGGGGAUAACUACUCGAAAGAGUGGCUAAUACCGCAUGAGAUCUACGGAUGAAAGCAGGGGAUUGCAAGACCUUGUGCUACUAGAGCGGCCGAUGGCAGAUUAGGUAGUUGGUGGGAUAAAAGCUUACCAAGCCGACGAUCUGUAGCUGGUCUGAGAGGACGAUCGGCCACACUGGGACUGAGACACGGCCCAGACUCCUACGGGAGGCAGCAGUGGGGAAUGUUGUACAAGGGGCGAAAGCCUGAUCCAGCAAGGCCGCGUGCAGGAUGAAGGCCUUCGGGUUGUAAACUGCUUUUGUACGGAACGAAAAGCCCCGGGUUAAUACCCUGGGGUCAUGACGGUACCGUAAGAAUAAGCACCGGCUAACUACGUGCCAGCCGCCGCCGUAA